UAAGGAGUAUAAUUAAGGCUGCUAACUUUGAUUUGGGAAUAUUCCAUCCUUAU
rnacentral:tRNA from 1 species